CGUCGGUGUGAAUGUGCCUCUGCUGCCCUGCGUGGCACCUGCCACCCUCUCACACACAGCUGCCAGUGCCACCCGGGGGCUGGAGGCCGAUACUGCGAGCGAUGCCUGCCAGGAUUCUGGGAUUACAGCACAUCCGGCUGCAAGAAAUGUGAUUGCCCAGAGGAGAAUUGUGACAUGCACACAGGAGAGUGUCUUCCCGAGGCCUCGCAAAUCAGCGAGUGUAAUAUCGACUGCGAUGCGUGUAUUUGGAAUCUGAUUGGAGAUAUUCGUCAGUCCAACAAAACCUUGGACCAAGUUAGGAACAGCGUGCUGAACAUUUCUACAGGAGCUGCGGCCAACGACAGAUUAAAGUACUACAACUACACUGCACACAGAC